rnacentral:rRNA from 1 species
AUGACUCCCCUCCCAGUUUUCGUCCUCCUGUCAUUGGUUUGUUUAUGCAAAUCCGAUGACCGCCUUACUCCCGAAAAAUCACUCAACGCUGGUGAUAAGCUCGUUUCGAGCGGCGGCAUCUUUGCUCUUGGCUUCUUCACCCCGGCAAACUCAACUGCGGACACGUACAUCGGCAUAUGGUACAACAAGAUCCCUGAGCGCACUUAUGUGUGGGUCGCUAACCGCGACAAGCCGAUCAAGAAUGGUUCUCCUGGGAAGCUGGCUAUGAGCAGCGACUCUGACCUUGUCUUGUCUGACUCCCAAGGCCGAACUCUAUGGACAACCACAAACAACUUCACAUCCGCAACCACCGGAACUGCUGCUAUACUGUUUGAUUCCGGAAACUUGGUCAUCCGGUUGCCGAAUGGCACAGACAUAUGGCAGAGCUUCCAUUACCCGACUGACACCGCCCUCCCUGACAUGGUUUUACCACUGAGCACAAAUGAUGGUAUCUUGAUGCGCCUCAUUGCUUGGAGGGCCCCUGAUGACCCGGCCUCCAGCGACUACUCCAUGGGUGGUGACUCUAGCUCAGACCUUCAGGUUGUAAUCUGGAAUGGGACGAGACCGUAUUGGCGUAGAUCUGCGUGGGAUGGGUCAUUGGUCUCUGCCCUGUAUCAAAGCAACACUGGCUUCAUCGUAACUGAAACAAUUGUCGACAGAGGGGGUGAGUUAUACAUGACAUUCACCGUCUCUGAGGGCUCACCAAGCAUGCGCAUGACACUGGACUACAAAGGCACUUUUAAAUUUCUGGUCUGGAACAGCAACUCGUCAUCAUGGGAGGCUUUCAUAGAGCAUCCUAGUCCUAUCUGUGAACGCUACGCCUAUUGCGGACCAUUUGGCUACUGUGAUGCCGCUGAAACAGUUCCGAAAUGCAACUGCCUCAGUGGGUUUGAGCCUGAUGGCGUCAACUUCUCCAGAGGAUGUCGGAGAAAGGAGGAUCUGAAAUGUGGUAUUGACAAUAAUUUCUCGACCCUGAGAGGUAUGAAGACACCUGACAAGUUCUUGUAUGUCAGGAACAGAAGUUUUGACCAAUGCACAGAAGAGUGCAGACGCAAUUGCUCUUGCUCCGCAUAUGCUUAUGCUAACCUGAGAAAUGGAAGUGCUUAUGCUAACCUGAAAAAUGGAAGUGGGGCUGCGGACCAGUCAAGGUGCUUAAUUUGGUUAGGAGGACUUGUCGACACGGGGAAAUUUCGUGAUGGUGGUGGUGAGAACCUGUACCUCCGCCUUGCCAGUUCAACAGUUGACAAGGAGAGUAAGGUAUUGAAGAUUAUACUCCCAAUAGUGGCUAGUCUGCUGAUACUCGCAUCCAUCUGCCUUGUGUGGAUAUGCAAGUCAAGAGGUAAACGACGAAUCAAGGAGAUUAAGAACAAACAUACGCCACAGCACUUGCAAAAUUCCAAGUUGAACGAACUUGAGAAUGAAAGUAUAGACCUUCCAUAUAUUUGCUUUGAAGACAUUGUUACUGCAACAGACAAUUUCUCAGACUACAAAAUGCUUGGGAAAGGUGGCUUUGGAAAAGUUUACAAGGGACUAUUAGGAGGUGGUGGUAAGGAAGUUGCUGUCAAAAGGCUUAGUAAAAGUUCCGGCCAAGGGGCCGAGGAGUUCAGAAAUGAAGUUGUUCUAAUUGCCAAAUUACAGCAUAGAAACUUAGUUAGACUUCUUGGUUACUGCACUUAUGAAGAUGAGAAGUUAUUGAUAUAUGAAUACUUACCUAACAAAAGCUUGGAUGCCUUCCUUUUUGAUGCAACAAGAAAUUCUGUGCUUGAUUGGCUUACCCGGUUCAAGGUAAUUAAAGGGAUAGCAAGAGGGCUUCUUUAUCUCCACCAAGAUUCAAGGUUAACAAUAAUUCAUAGGGAUCUCAAAGCAAGCAAUGUCUUGUUAGAUGCAGAAAUGAACCCUAAAAUAUCAGAUUUUGGUAUGGCAAGGAUAUUUGGAGGAAAUGAGCAACAAGCGAACACUAUCCACGUUGUUGGGACAUAUGGUUACAUGUCUCCUGAAUAUGCAAUGGAAGGUUCCUUUUCUGUCAAGUCUGACACUUAUAGCUUUGGCGUUCUACUGUUGGAGAUUGUAAGUGGGUCAAAGAUCAGUUCAUCCCAUUUCAUGACGGACUUUACAAGCCUUAUAGCUUACGCCUGGAGCUUAUGGAAAGAUGGAAAUGCAAGAGAAUUGGUGGACUCGUCCAUUGUGGAGAACUGUCCACUUCAUGAAGUUCUACGAUGUGUUCAUAUAGGUCUCUUGUGUGUUCAAGACAAUCCAAAUGCCAGGCCGCUCAUGUCAUCCACUGUGUUCAUGCUAGAAAAUGAAACGGCUCUGCUUCCUACUCCGAAGGAGCCUCUAUACUUUAGGCAACGGUAUGAUGAGGUUGAAGACCAAAGAGAUACCAUGGGAAUAACCCUGAAUAAGAUGACUAUCACUAUGCAAGAGGGACGUUAG